rnacentral:lncRNA from 1 species
GGUGGCCACCAACAGCGAGCUGGUGCAGAGCGGCAAGAGCGAGAUUUCGGAGCUCUGGCACACCAUGCAGAACCUGGAGAUUGAGCUGCAGUCCCAGCUCAGCAUAAAGCAUCCCUGGAGAACAGCCUGGAGGAGACCAAAGGCCGCUACUGUGUGCAGCUGGCCCAAAUCCAGGAGAUGAUUGGCAGUGUGGAGGAGCAGCUGGCCCAGCUCUGCUGCGAGAUGGAGCAGCAGAACCAGGAGUACAAGAUCCUGCUGGACGUGAAGAUGCGGCUGGAACAGGAGAUCGCCACCUACCGCCGCCUGCUGGAGGGCGAGGAUGCCCAAUGAGUCUUGGCCCUCCCCUUAAUCCGCCCCACCAUGGCACUCUCACGGCCCCACCAUGUAUCUAAUGACCCUGCCCUUUUCUGUCUUCACAGCCUCUCCUCCUCCCAGUUCUCCUCUGGAUCGCAGUCAUCCAGAGACCGUGACCUCCUCCAGCCACCAAAUCCACACCAAGAUCAUGGAUGUGCACGAUGGCAAGGUGGUGUCCACCCACGAGCAGGUCCUUCGCACCAAGAACUGAGGCUGCCCAGCCCCGCUCAGGCCCAGGAGGCCCCCUGUGUGGACACGGAUCCCACUAGAAGAUCCCCUCUCCUGCCGCCUAAGCACUUCACACCUGGACCCUGCUUCACCCUCACCCCCUCCUGGCAAUCAAUACAGCUUCAUUAUCUGA